CGUGUAGGCGGCUAGGAAAGUCAGAUGUGAAAGCCCUGGGCUCAACCCAGGAAGUGCAUUUGAAACUCUCUAACUUGAGUACGGGAGGGGAGGGGGGAAUUCCCGGUGUAGAGGUGAAAUUCGUAGAUAUCGGGAGGAAUACCGGUGGCGAAGGCGCCCCUCUGGACCGAUACUGACGCUGAGACGCGAAAGCGUGGGGAGCAAACA
rnacentral:rRNA from 1 species